GACGAACGCUGGCGGCGUGCCUAAUACAUGCAAGUAGAACGCAGUUGCGAACGGGUGAGUAACGUGUAGGGAAUUGCCGCAUAGCGGGGGAUAACUAUUGGAAACGUUAGCUAAUACCGCAUACUGUGAGAUGGACCUGCGUUGUAUUAGCUAGUUGGUGAGGUAAAGGCUCACCAAGGCCACGAUACAUGGUCGGCCUGAGCGGGUUGUCAGCCACACUGGGACUGAGACACGGCCCAGACUCCCACGGGAGGCAGCAGUAGGGAAACUUCGGCAAUGGACGGAAGUCCGACCGAGCAACGCCGCGGGAGUGAAGAAGGUUUUCGGGUCGUGAAGCUCUGUUGUUAGAGAAGCGGUAACGAACCAGAAAGGGACGGCUAACUACGUGCCAGCCGCCGCGGUAAUAC
rnacentral:rRNA from 1 species